GGCAUUGAAGGUGAAUUGGUUACACCACCACACUUCCAAUGUGGAGACUGCGGGUUCGAGCCCCGUCAAUGCCU
rfam:Marine bacterium AO1-C Bin2_contig__2_len_1495235_cov_100.329_ID_3, whole genome shotgun sequence.